rnacentral:rRNA from 1 species
UACGUAGGGUGCGAGCGUUGUCCGGAAUUAUUGGGCGUAAAGAGCUUGUAGGCGGUUUGUCGCGUCUGCUGUGAAAAUCCGGGGCUCAACCCCGGACUUGCAGUGGGUACGGGCAGACUAGAGUGUGGUAGGGGAGACUGGAAUUCCUGGUGUAGCGGUGAAAUGCGCAGAUAUCAGGAGGAACACCAGUAGCGAAGGCGGCUCGUGG